rnacentral:tRNA from 1 species
GCCCGUUUAGCUUAAUGGACAAAGCAUUAGAUUUCUAAUCUGAGUAAUAUAGGUUCGAUUCCUAUAAUGGGUA